CCAGGCGGCCGCGCGCCCCGCGGCACCGUCGGGGGCGGUGGGCAGGGGAGAGGCUCGGGAGCGCGCCUGCCGGAGCGCUUUGCUCCAGCCUGCCGAGCGGGGAGGAGGGCUCGCCGCACCACCGCCCCGAGCCGCGCAGCGGGGCCGCAGCCAGCCACCAAGCAGUAACAUAAAGAAGUCCCAAGAGAUAAGAAGGAAAAAAAAAACAGAGACACAGAUCAUUGUGCUCUGAAAGUAUUUGUACAAAGGUGAGGCAAUCCAGACACUUGAAUCCUUGUGAGCAGGUGGCUAGCUGGAACCAUCACUGUGUGCUGUGCCAAUACCUAGUGCUCUGCUCCUGCGUCAUUGCUUUCUUAGUUACAUUUACUUAUCUAUUCCAACAUCUAGUUUGGUAAGAAGAAAAGAAAGUUGGGCAGGUUUGUCUCAGUGGGAGUUAACUAAUCCAUCUAAAAAUAAUGAUGACAAAGAAGACCAUAUCUGCGAGCAGAGCUUCCUUGAUUCUCUUUCUGUGCCAGAUGAUUACUGCAUUGGAAGUACCUCUUGAUCCAAUACUUCUCAAAGAAUUAUCACAGCCUCCAACAAUAACUCAGCAAUCUCCAAAAGACUACAUUGUUGACCCUCGAGAGAAUAUUGUAAUACAAUGUGAAGCAAAAGGAAAACCACCUCCUAGUUUCUCAUGGACACGUAAUGGAACUCAUUUUGAUAUAGAUAAAGAUGCAAGGGUAACAGUGAAGCCAAACUCAGGAACCCUUGUAAUAAACAUUAUGAAUGGUGGAAAGGCAGAAGCAUAUGAGGGAGUAUAUCAGUGUACAGCAAGGAAUGAACGUGGAGCAGCAAUUUCCAAUAACAUUGUUAUACGCCCGUCCAGAUCCCCCUUGUGGACUAAAGAAAAAGUAGAACCAAAACAUGUCAGAGAAGGUGAUCCUCUCGUACUUCACUGCAGCCCUCCAGUUGGGUUACCACCACCUAUAAUAUUUUGGAUGGAUAAUUCUUUCCAAAGGCUGCCUCAAAAUGAAAGAGUUUCCCAAGGUCUGAAUGGAGACCUUUAUUUUUCUAAUGUAAAACCAGAGGACACUCGUGAGGACUAUAUUUGUUAUGCGAGAUUUAAUCACACUCAGACUAUACAGCAGAAGCAACCUAUUUCUGUGAAGGUUUUUUCAAUGGAUUCAUUGAAUGAAACUAUAUCUGCUAAUUUGAGUGACACUGAUUUUUAUGGUGCCAAGCCAUUGACAGAGAGACGACCAACUCUUUUAACUCCAGUGGGGAGCACAAGUAAUAAAGUGGAACUAAGGGGAAAUGUACUUUUGCUGGAGUGCAUUGCAGAAGGAUUACCCACGCCACUUAUCCGCUGGAUUAAAGAAGGUGGAGAACUGCCCAUCAACAGAACAUUUUUUGAAAACUUUAAGAAAACUCUCAAGAUUGUAGAGGUUUCUGAAGCUGAUUCUGGGAAAUACAAAUGUGUAGCAAGAAAUCCGUUAGGUUCCACUCACCAUACCAUUACAGUAACUGUCAAAGCUGCUCCAUACUGGAUCACAGCACCUAGAAACCUUGUGUUGUCUCCUGGAGAGGAUGGAACCCUGAUCUGCAGAGCUAAUGGCAACCCCAAACCUAAUAUUAGCUGGCUAACAAAUGGUGUGCCUAUAGCAAUUGCCCCAGAAGAUCCUAGCAGAAAAGUAGAUGGUGAUACCAUAAUUUUCUCUGAUGUGCAAGAAAGAUCAAGUGCUGUUUAUCAAUGCAAUGCCUCUAAUGAAUAUGGAUACUUGCUGGCAAAUGCAUUUGUGAAUGUUUUGGCUGAGCCACCAAGAAUUCUGACUCCUGCUAAUAAAUUAUAUCAGAUCAUUGCAAACAAUCCUGCAUUGCUAGAUUGUGCAUUUUUUGGUUCACCUGUGCCUGAAAUUGAAUGGUUUAAGGGAGUAAAAGGGAGCAUCCUGCAUGGAGAUCUUUAUGUUUUUCAUGACAAUGGAACUCUGGAAAUUCCUGUGGCACAAAAGGAUAGUUCUGGCACAUAUACCUGUGUAGCAAGGAAUAAAUUAGGAAAGGUACAAAAUGAGGUCCAUCUAGAAGUCAAAGAUCCAACAAUGAUUAUUAAACAGCCUGAAUAUAAAAUCAUUCAAAAGGGUGGCCAGGUUUCCUUUGAGUGUACUAUAAAGCAUGAUCGUACCUUACUGCCAACUAUUACAUGGUUGAAAGAUAAUGGUGAACUGCCAGAUGAUGAAAGGUUUAUUAUUCAUAAAGAUAGUUUGGCCAUUAUGAAUGUAACUGAUAAGGAUGAUGGAACCUAUACAUGUGUAGCAAAUACUACCCUGGACAGCGUUUCUGCAAGUGCCGUACUCACUGUUGUUGCUGCUACCCCAACUCCAGCUAUCAUUUACGAUCGUCCUGAUCCACCCUUUGAUUUAGAAUUAACAGAUCAGCUAGAAAGAAGCAUACAGCUGUCCUGGAUACCAGGAUAUGACAAUAACAGCCCCAUUACAAAUUUUGUCAUUGAAUAUGAAGAUGGAAUGCGUGAACCAGGGGUAUGGCAUUACCAGACAGAAGUCCGUGGGACUCAGACAACUGUACAGUUAAAGCUGUCUCCGUAUGUUAACUAUUCGUUCCGUGUAAUAGCUGUCAAUGAGAUUGGUAGAAGUCAGCCAAGUGAAGCAUCUGAACAAUAUCUAACAAAAGCUGCAAAGCCAGAUGAAAAUCCUUCUGGUGUUCAAGGGAUAGGAUCAGAACCCGAUAAUUUGGUGAUUAUAUGGGAGCCUUUAAAAGGUUUUCAGUCCAAUGGACGAGGUCUUCAAUACAAAGUCAGUUGGCGUCAGAAAGAUGUUGGUGAUGAGUGGACUUCUGUUAUAGUUGCAAAUGUUUCAAAAUAUAUUGUAUCUGGUACACCGACCUUUGUUCCAUAUGAAAUAAAAGUACAGGCUUUAAAUGACAUAGGAUAUGCACCAGAACCUGCAGAGGUGAUUGGACAUUCUGGGGAAGACUUACCAAUGGUUGCUCCAGGCAACGUGCAGGUGCACAUUGUUAACAGCACAUUAGCCAAGGUGCACUGGGACCCCGUUCCACUAAAAACUGUCCGAGGACACCUUCAAGGAUACAGGAUUUACUACUGGAAAGUCCAGAGUUUAUCUAAAAGAAGGCGGCGGCAUGUGGAGAAAAAGAUUCUGACAUUCAGUGGAAACAAGACACAUGGAAUGUUGCCAGGACUGGAGCCUUAUAGUUCUUACAAGCUGAAUGUUAGAGUUGUUAAUGGUAAAGGGGAAGGACCAGCAAGCCCUGACAAAUUAUUUAAGACUCCUGAAGGAGUUCCCAGCUCACCUUCCUUUUUGAAGAUUUCUAAUCCAACACUGGACUCUCUGACUUUGGAAUGGGGUCCACCUACUCACCCAAAUGGUAUUUUGAUAGCAUAUACACUAAAGUUUCAACCAAUUAACAGCACUCAUGAAUUAGGCCCCUUGGUAGAGAUCAGAAUUCCUGCAAACGAGACCAGCUUGAUAUUAAGUAAUUUAAAUUACAGCACACGAUACAAGUUUUACUUUUAUGCACAAACAUCAGUUGGAUCUGGAAGUCAAAUAACUGAGGAAGCAGUAACAAUUAUGGAUGAAGCUGGUAUUCUCCCUCCUGCUGUAGGUGCAGGCAAAGGAUACUCAGAAACCCUUUUUGCAACAUCCCCUGUCAUACAUACUGUCCAUCCAACAUUCUAUAAGGUGCGACCGGUUUAUCCAAGGAUCAGAAAUGUUACUGCAUCUGCUGCUGAGACCUAUGCCAAUAUCAGUUGGGAGUAUGAGGGACCAGAUCAUAUGAACUUUUAUGUUGAAUAUGGUGUAGCAGGCAGCAAAGAAGAUUGGAAAAAAGAAAUUGUAAAUGGUUCUCGGAGCUUCUUUGUGUUAAAGGGUUUAACACCAGGAACGUCAUAUAAAGUCCGGGUUGGUGCGGAGGGUCUGUCUGGUUUUGUGAGUUCAGAGGAUGUGUUUGAGACAGGUCCAGCAAUGGCAAGCCGGCAGGUUGACAUUGCUACUCAAGGAUGGUUCAUUGGUCUUAUGUGUGCUGUUGCUCUUCUUAUCUUGAUUUUGCUGAUUGUUUGCUUCAUAAGGAGGAAUAAGGGUGGCAAAUAUCCAGUGAAGGAAAAGGAAGAUGCACAUGCUGAUCCAGAAAUACAGCCUAUGAAAGAAGAUGAUGGAACAUUUGGUGAAUACAGACAAUAGAAUCUGCAUCCUUACUAGCAUAUAGAAAAAUCACAGACCCAAUGCAACCAAAUGUGAAGUACAACAAUUGUAUGAAGUCAGUGCUGUUACAAAUGUUUCUGAUACAAUUAUAAAGUAUUUCUUAUUUACUUGUAUACCCUAAAGUAAUGAACUGAGCUCACGUGUUGUUCUGCACAGAGAACUUCUUCAGUUAAGUCCAAAUAUUUUGUUAUCAUUGAAUUUUAAGUAAAAAGUGUUACAGUAGAAUAGGAAGCAAUAGUUUCUCCAUGAGCUUUCUUUGCUGCUUAUUGUACCAGGCUGUGUAAAAUUCAGUGCCAUAAAUACCAUCAUUGUUGCUCAUUGCCAGUUGUCAUCCCACAGUGAGUAAAUUUAAACAAAACCAAAGAUUCAGAAACUUUGGCAAAGUAUUAAGCUAACUGAAGCACAGCUCACAAAAUAUUUGGAUCUUUUGGUAAGCAAGAUUCUUACUAGGUGACAAGUUUGUUGUUUCAGUGUAAGAAUUAAAUUGAUCAUACGCUGUAUAGUACAGAACUUUUAAAUGAUUUACAUUCUGAACUCUUGAGAAGGAAAUUACAUUUUUGUCAUUUUUAAAUUGGAGAGAAUUUCUGGAACAACUAAAGACUUUUGUGCAGUGCUUAUCAGCAUUAACAAAACAAAAUAGUUACAUAUGCAGUAACAAUUUGGUUACAUUUUUAAAGGUUUGUUGUGUUAUAUGGAUUGUUUUAUCCUGAAAAUAUUGCAGUUGACAUGAUCAUGUAAAUGUUGACCAAGAUUUUCACAAAUGGGUGCUGAAAGUUAGGAUACAUGGUAAGCAUUUUCUGAAAAUCAGUUCCCUUUAAUAUGUCUCAAGCUAAAUGCCCAAAAUUUGAGAGACCUCCAAAUCACUAAUCAUUUUGGAAAAUUUAGGAGCCUGUGUACAAGAGGUGACCUGAUUUCUAAAGGAGCUGAGUGCCUAGAUUCAGUGAAAGCUACUGGCUGCUCAGCACCUUUGAAAAUCAAACCACUUAUUUAGAUGUCUAAAUAUACACUUGCGAGCCUACCUUCAGGCAUCUCUAUUUGUAAAUCUUGGCAGCAAUUCUUACUCACCCAAAUCUUUAUUCAGGUGAAUUCCCAGUAAAAUUAGCAUACUGUACCUCACUGUUCUCACUGUAUUAAAUGCACAUGUAUAUAUGCACAAAAUAUAUUUUGUUGUGGUGACUCAAUAGCUAAAGACAUUACAAUAAGCAAGUUCACAUGCUUCACUGAGAACCUCACAAAAGCAUGUAAUAUUUUCUGACUGAGUAUCUGGAUUUUACAUUAGUAUAAAAUGACUGCUGCCUCUUCUGCUGGUACUAUACCAUGUAUUUUAAAGUAUAUCUUUGUAUUUUGUAACUGUAACCCUGUUUAUUGCAUUGCAGCAUGUAUGUCAAAAGUUUAAAUUAUAUUAUGUGUUUUACUACAUUUCAUCCAAGAUUAUCUGAACAUUUGGAAACACAAAAUUGUGCAGGUUCUCAUUUUGCACUUGUAAAAUGUCAAACUAGAAAUGAAUUGAGCUGCGUAAUAUUUAUGGAGCAGUCACUAUACGUGACUAACAACUUGUUAGGUCUGAAUGUGAUGCAAGAAACUCUUUUUUUUUCUUUUUCUGUUUUCACACCACAUGUUAUAUAGCAAGUGGUGAUUAUGGAUUUAAUGCUUUAGAAUUAAACAAGAAUUAAACAGGAAGAUCCCACAUGCAGUAUUAAUUGCUAACUGCAGUUACAUACAGACCACUACAAACUCCACAACUGAAUUUCAGGAAAAAAAACAAGUACCUUAAAAUUGAAGUGGUGAAUGUAUCUGUCUCCUAGGCAGCAGUUCUAAUGCAAACCUUUUUAACCAAAUUCACAAAUGUGAGCUAUAUGUCAUGAGAGAAUGGAACAAGGAUAGUGAAGAGAUAGUCUCCCAUGUGGGUACUCGACAGAUUUAAAAUAUAUAUGUUUGUUUCAGCAGAUAUAGUAAUAUUACCAGGAGAGAAGAGGCUGACUAGAAGCUCCAGCCAUAUAAGCUCCAGCCAUAUGGGCUUAAUUAUGCUGUAGUCUGUCUGACUGUGGAUCUGUCGCUUGCAUUCAGAUAUUUGACUGAAAUGGAAAAGAUUAAUACAGUAUUAUUGCAGCAUGAUAUAGUGCUACUCAGAAGUGAUGUGUUGCAUCUUAAGUUGAUUCAGAACAUACAUUUAUAGUGUUUGGUGAAAACAGUGAAAAUGGCUAAAUCACAUUAUUCUUAGCUAGCUAAAAGGAUAUUCAAGUAUAAGAUAUGUAAAUAUAUUGUUCCUUCCUCAUCCUGACAAAUAUAAUGCCCUGCCAAAAUGAAAUCUCUUCUGAGAGAUCCAACAAGAAACAACUCAGGAUGCUGGCUGUAUAUGUAAUUACAGGCGCUUGCAUGCAUGAUGUACCAUGAGCCCACCACACUCCCUGCCAACUCUGUUUUUGUGAGCAGUCCUGCUGUUCAAAUUGUAGAGUAGAAUUCUUUUCAUUGUUAAUACCUUGUAUGCUCAUGACACCAAAGCAGGCAGAGAAGAUGGAUGAUAUUAUUUGUAUCCUUGUGCCAUGUAUGCCUAGGUAGCCGCAAACAAAACUCCUUUGUCACUUGACUUUUUUAUUCUAACAUUAAAUCCUUAAAUGCACAUAUAUGAUACAAUAGCACACCACCUCUCUGUUUAUGUGUAGAUAUAAAAACAUAUACAGUGAUGUAUUUAUUUGUAAAUAUAGGUCUGCAUAUAGAUAACAAAUUUUCUUAAGGUCCAGCCAUUUGGGAUGUUCUGAAGCCUAAAAAGAGGAGGUGAUAAUGUAAAAAGUAGCUUGUGUGAUAGAAAGUUUGUAUGGUUUGUAAUGAUGGUAAAGUGCAUUUCAGCAGAAUAUUAAUCAACAGAAUCAAUAUCUGUGUGCUCUUGUGCAUGCUGUACAACAGUACAUUCUUGGUUAUUAUAUGAUGAUAUCCCUUCAAAUAAGAAUGGAAAACAGAUAUUGUGAACAAUUAAAGAAUUUACUAACAGGAAUUGUGCAGCUAAUUCAAAACACUCAUUGCUGAAUAUAUGUCUAAAGUUAACAAGCCGUUCUGGGUUAGUAUGGCACAAUGUAAGUUUUGCUUUUCCUAAUAUAAAUUUAUUUUUCACCUCCAUAAUUUGUGAAUCUGUGAAUAAAUAAAUAAAACACAUUUGUCGACCCUUUCUAUGCCCUGUAUGCAUAUGGGCUUGAGUGUUUUAUUAUACCUACAAGUUAGAUAUUUGCAUUUGAAUGUGCAGCUUAACCCAAUGGUUACUAAAUGGGAAGCCACAGCUUGAACUAUUGCUGAAGUCUUUAGCUUCAAGGUCAUUCACAGCCUGUUUAAUAGAAGAAAAAGAAAAUCUAAACACAGCCCAGCAAAGUCUGCUGCACUAGAUUUGGACCCUAUCAUAUGUAGAUUGUAUUUGAGUCAGGAGUAUAAUAUAGAGAUAACCUUCUAAGCAAUGAAAACAGUCUUUUUCUAUGUGUAUACACCCACAGGGUGGUGGUAGCAAAGAUAAAAGAAAUCGCGCAAAGCAUUUCUUCCAUAACUAAAAAAAAAAAAAGGUCUAAAAUACUUCUAAGAUCUUUAGCAUGCUUUAAACUGACCUGUGUUACCAAUAUUCAACUAAAGAGCUUCUAUGUCUGAACAUAUUGAAUGUUUUAGCAAUUAUAAGCUCAAAUUCCUAUUAAAUGAAUACUGAUCAUUAUCAGGAUGUGGACUCUGCUUUUCUUCUUAGGCUAUUUUCAUUUGUUUCUUCUGCACCCUUUUAAU